rnacentral:rRNA from 16 species
GUUACCACUAAAAUUAAAAUUUAGAUAUUUUCAUGGCAAAUUUUUUCAAUUACUAAACAUUAACUUUAGUGUAAAUACAUGAAAAAAAUUAAAUUAG